ACGGGAGGCAGCAGUGGGGAAUAUUGGGCAAUGGGCGCAAGCCUGACCCAGCAACGCCGCGUGAAGGAAGAAGGCUUUCGGGUUGUAAACUUCUUUUGUGAGGGACGAGAAGAAGACGGUACCUCAUGAAUAAGCCACGGCUAACUACGUGCCAGCAGCCGCGGUAAUACGUAGGUGGCAAGCGUUGUCCGGAUUUAUUGGGUGUAAAGGGCGUGUAGCCGGGUCGGCAAGUCAGAUGUGAAAUCCACGGGCUUAACCUGUGAACUGCAUUUGAAACUGCGGAUCUUGAGUAUCGGAGAGGCAAUCGGAAUUCCUUGUGUAGCGGUGAAAUGCGUAGAUAUAAGGAGGAACACCAGUGGCGAAGGCGGACUGCUGGACGACAACUGACGGUGAGGCGCGAAAGCGUGGGGAGCAAACAGGAUUAGAUACCCUGGUA
rnacentral:rRNA from 1 species